AGUUCGUACUCGCCUCGUCCAUUUU
rnacentral:piRNA from 1 species